AGUGAACGCUGGCGGUAGGCCUAACACAUGCAAGUCGAACGGCAGCACAGUAAGAGCUUGCUCUUACGGGUGGCGAGUGGCGGACGGGUGAGGAAUACAUCGGAAUCUACUUUUUCGUGGGGGAUAACGUAGGGAAACUUACGCUAAUACCGCAUACGACCUACGGGUGAAAGCAGGGGAUCUUCGGACCUUGCGCGAUUGAAUGAGCCGAUGUCGGAUUAGCUAGUUGGCGGGGUAAAGGCCCACCAAGGCGACGAUCCGUAGCAGGUCCGAGAGGAUGAUCAGCCACACUGGAACUGAGACACGGUCCAGACUCCUACGGGAGGCAGCAGUGGGGAAUAUUGGACAAUGGGCGCAAGCCUGAUCCAGCCAUACCGCGUGGGUGAAGAAGGCCUUCGGGUUGUAAAGCCCUUUUGUUGGGAAAGAAAAGCAGCAGGUUAAUCCCCCGCUGUUCUGACGGUACCCAAAGAAUAAGCACCGGCUAACUUCGUG
rnacentral:rRNA from 1 species